GGGAGUUCUGCAAACCUUAUCACUUAGAGAAGGGAGAAGUCGUAACAGGUUUCCGUAGGUGACCUGCGGAAGGAUCAUUC
rnacentral:ncRNA from 1 species